rnacentral:rRNA from 1 species
GAUUAACGCUGGCGGCGUGCAUGAGACAUGCAAGUCGAACGGACGACUCGGGCUUGCUCGAGUCGUUAGUGGCGGACGGCUGAGUAACGCGUGGGUGGCCUGCCCCGAAGUGGGGAAUAACUGCCCGAAAGGGUGGCUAAUACCGCAUGUGGUGGUGCGUUCGAUCGCAUCAGUAAAGCCGCAAGGCGCUUCGGGAGGGGCCUGCGUCCGAUUAGCUCGUUGGCGAGGUAACGGCUCACCAAGGCGACGAUCGGUAGGUGGUCUGAGAGGACGAUCACCCAGACUGGGACUGAGACACGGCCCAGACUCCUACGGGAGGCAGCAGUCGGGAAUUUUGCGCAAUGGACGAAAGUCUGACGCAGCAACGCCGCGUGAGGGAUGAAGGCCU